GCGUGCAAUCAUACCAGUGUUAAUGCACCAGAUCCCAUCAGAACUCUGCAGUUAAGUGCGCUUGGAAUAGAGUAGUACUGGGAUGGGUGACCUCCCGGGAAGUCCUAGUGUUGCACCCU
rfam:Picea glauca, whole genome shotgun sequence.